rnacentral:rRNA from 1 species
AUGGUGGAAAAGCUUCUCAAGGCCUCGUCCUCCUCACCGCGCAAGCAUGGGAAAAACGUUAUGUGCUAUCGUUGCGGGGAGAAGGGUCAUCUUGCGGAGAUCUGCAGAAAAGAGGCGACCCGCUUCGUUUGUGGCGCCUUCGGCCACAGAUCCUUCUACUGUCCUAGGCGAGGGAAGCAAGGUAACCAAGUAAUCCUCUUUCUUGUGCUUCAGCCCUAUGAGGAUAUGGUGAGAAACGUGGAACAUUUGAGAAAAUGUGCUGUGUCAUUGAGGGGAAGAGCUUUUCUUUCGAAGGCAUCUUUCUGA